UACGUAGGGGGCUAGCGUUGUCCGGAAUCAUUGGGCGUAAAGCGCGUGUAGGCGGCCCGGUAAGUCCGCUGUGAAAGUCGGGGGCUCAACCCUCGGAUGCCGGUGGAUACUGUCGGGCUCGAGUACGGAAGAGGCGAGUGGAAUUCCUGGUGUAGCGGUGAAAUGCGCAGAUAUCAGGAGGAACACCAAUGGCGAAGGCAGAUCUCUGGGCCGUAACUGACGCUGAGGAGCGAAAGCAUGGGGAGCGAACAGG
rnacentral:rRNA from 1 species